AAAUGGGCUGGCAUGUUCCAAGGGGGCGACUGAUCCUUGCAAGAUCGGUGAGAAGGGUUCAAUUCCCUUCCGGUCC
rnacentral:tRNA from 1 species